rnacentral:lncRNA from 1 species
UCAUUUUUUAGUCGUCAAAAUGAAACUUAUAUUUUAUUCGUAUACUUAUUUAUUAUUUAUAAUCAACAUAUUUAGGUCUACCCCACAUCAAACAUUUUCUUUAAAAUGCUCCAAUAUUCAAAUCAUUUCCAUAAGUGAAUCCGAAGAAAAAGAUUAUCUGGAUGAAAUAUUCAGGCGUAAUCCCGAAUAUUAGGCCCGAGUUGUAAGAGCUUGCAAGCCAUGAGUAUUCGUC